rnacentral:lncRNA from 1 species
AAAAAUAAAAACCUUAUCUAGGACCUCGCGACGACGACAUGGAGAAGAGAGGGAAAGGCUAUAAAAGAGAGGGAGUGAACGGAGAGAAGAGAGGGAGAGGGAGAAGAGAUGGGAGGAAGGAGAACUACUACAAGAUAAAAUCAAAUAAAUUUUAGGUUUAUAAAAUAAUCUAUUUCAUUACACUAUUUAGCAACGGCCAUCUACU